rfam:Talaromyces marneffei PM1 scf022, whole genome shotgun sequence.
ACAUACGACCAUAGGGUGUGGAAAACAGGGCUUCCCGUCCGCUCAGCCGUACUUAAGCCACACGCCGGUUGGUUAGUAGUUGGGUGGGUGACCACCAGCGAAUCCCAACUGUCGUAUGUU